AUUGAACACUGGCGGCAGGCCUAACACAUGCAAGUCGAACGGUAACAGGAAGCAGCUUGCUGCUUCGCUGACGAGUGGCGGACGGGUGAGUAAUGUCUGGGAAGCUGCCUGAUGGAGGGGGAUAACUACUGGAAACGGUAGCUAAUACCGCAUAAUGUCGCAAGACCAAAGAGGGGGACCUUCGGGCCUCUUGCCAUCGGAUGUGCCCAGAUGGGAUUAGCUUGUUGGUGGGGUAACGGCUCACCAAGGCGACGAUCCCUAGCUGGUCUGAGAGGAUGACCAGCCACACUGGAACUGAGACACGGUCCAGACUCCUACGGGAGGCAGCAGUGGGGAAUAUUGCACAAUGGGCGCAAGCCUGAUGCAGCCAUGCCGCGUGUAUGAAGAAGGCCUUCGGGUUGUAAAGUACUUUCAGCGGGGAGGAAGGGAGUAAAGUUAAUACCUUUGCUCAUUGACGUUACCCGCAGAAGAAGCACCGGCUAACUCCGUG
rnacentral:rRNA from 1 species